UGAAAUUUUAUAAAAUAAGGAUAUAAUGGGCCUCAAAGAUUACUGUCACAAGAGAAAUGAUUGGAUAUAGAUUUCAAAACUUUACCGAGAAGGAAUUUGAAACCAUGAAUAAGACAAUUCAACAUGCGAAGACAAAAUAUGAAAGAUCCAAAAAAUCAAUUAAAUAUAAGUUUGCUUUUCCUUCUACAUACAUUUAAUGUUAUACUUUUCCUUUUGUAUUUUUGAAUAAGAAAUAUAAAAUAAUGUUUAUACUGUACCUA